rnacentral:tRNA from 1 species
UCUAAUAUGGCAGAUAAGUGCAAUGGAUUUAAGCUCCGUAUAUAAAGAUCUCUUUCUUUUAUUAGAA